ACUAUCAUCCUUGUUUUUAAAGAAACAGGGACAGAAGGAAUUAUUGAUGGUAAGGUUGGAAUUUUCAUGUCAAUUCCUAGAUAGUCUUGCCCUUAUUAGUACAAUCACGCAAUGUAACUAUUGAUGCUUCUUUUUUCUUCACAAGCUCUACUUGUAAUCAGAAAUUGGUUUCCCUUCUUGAUUUGACAAAACCUUGGAUGGCAAUUUCACAAUACGAAGAAAAAACAAAGAAAAAAAGGACAAAAAACAGAAAAAUUUCUGAUCUCUAAUAGUAAUAGUCUAUGAUUGAAUAAAGGGUAGAGCUAUACAUAAGAUAG
rnacentral:misc_RNA from 1 species